rnacentral:rRNA from 1 species
UACGGAGGGUGCAAACGUUGCUCGGAAUCAUUGGGCGUAAAGCGCACGUAGGCGGCUAGAUAAGUCGGGUGUGAAAGCCCUGGGCUCAACCCAGGAAGUGCAUUCGAAACUGUCUAGCUUGAAUCUCGGAGGGGGUCAGAGAAUUCCCGGUGUAGAGGUGAAAUUCGUAGAUAUCGGGAGGAACACCAGUGGCGAAGGCGGCUCACUGGACUGGUAUUGACGCUGAGGUGCGAAAGCGUGGGGAGCAAACAGG